rnacentral:lncRNA from 1 species
GGGCUGGGCCGGGGCUGGUGGGCGCGGGGAGGAGAUCCCUAUCUUGGCGAGCGGCGGUUCCCGGCGUCGGAUGCGGCCUCUGGAUGCCCCUUUCCCUUUUCCCUUUCCUUCCCCAUUCUGCUUUGGUUUAAUCAGUUUGGUCACACUCGGGAAGAAACUGAGAAAUAAUUCUUUACAUCAGUGGACUGAAGUUGAGGCUCGGCUUCUAUUUGUUAUUCACCACUGACUUUGGAGUUGACCUUAGCUUGGAAUUUCAGCCAUGUAUUGCAUUUUGCUAAUUUGAGGACCC